GAUUAGGUAGUUGGUGGGGUAAUGGCCUACCAAGCCGACGAUCCACAGCUGGUUUGAGAGGAUGAUCAGCCACACUGGGACUGAGACACGGCCCAGACUCCUACGGGAGGCAGCAGUGGGGAAUCUUAGACAAUGGGGGAAACCCUGAUCUAGCCAUGCCGCGUGAGCGAUGAAGGCCUUAGGGUUGUAAAGCUCUUUCAGUGGGGAAGAUAAUGACGGUACCCACAGAAGAAGCCCCGGCUAACUCCGUGCCAGCAGCCGCGGUAAUACGGAGGGGGCUAGCGUUGUUCGGAAUUACUGGGCGUAAAGCGCACGUAGGCGGACCGG
rnacentral:rRNA from 1 species